rnacentral:rRNA from 1 species
CUUUAGUGGCGAACGGGUGCGUAAUACGUGAGAAUCUGCCCUUAGGAGAAGAAUAACUGCUGGAAACGGCUGCUAAAUCUUCAUAUGUCGAGAGAUGAAAUAGCUUAGGCUGCCUAAGGAUGAGCUCACGCCUGAUUAGCUAGUUGGUGAGGUAAUGGCUCACCAAGGCCACGAUCAGUAGCUGGUUUGAGAGAACGAUCAGCCACACUGGGACUGAGACACGGCCCAGACUCCUCCGGGAGGCAGCAGUGAGGAAUUUUCCGCAAUGGGCGAAAGCCUGACGGAGCAAUACCGCGUGAGGGAUGAAGGAUUUUGGUCUGUAAACCUCUUUUCUCAAGAAAGAAGUUCUGACGGUACUUGAGGAAUAAGCAUCGGCUAACUCCGUGCCAGCAGCCGCGGUAAUACGGGGGAUGCAAGCGUUAUCCGGAAUCAUUGGGCGUAAAGCGCCUGUAGGUUGUUUAA